rnacentral:lncRNA from 1 species
GCCUUAUGGGUGGAAUUCGAAGGAAGAGAAGGAAGAGGGAAAGGGGGUAAGUAGAAUGGGUAGAAGGGAGAAGGAGGGGUCACUGGCAAGAAAAUGAUGGAGGUGGAGGGAGCCAUUAUGAAGGAAGAGAGCUCACAGGCAGGCUUGGAGGAGGAGGACAAAGAGGAAAGGCAUUAGGUGAAAAGAGAGGAGGAAGGAGG